rnacentral:rRNA from 1 species
UACGAAGGGGGCUAGCGUUGCUCGGAAUUACUGGGCGUAAAGCGCACGUAGGCGGCUUCUUAAGUCGGUGGUGAAAUCCUGGAGCUCAACUCCAGAACUGCCUUCGAUACUGGGAAGCUCGGAGUCCGGGAGAGGUGAGUGGGAACUGCGAGUGUAGAGGUGAAAUUCGUGAGAAUAUUCGGAAGAACAUCCAGUGGCGC